rnacentral:rRNA from 1 species
GAUGAACGCUAGCUACAGGCUUAACACAUGCAAGUCGAGGGACCGGCGCACGUGUGAGUCACACGUAUCCCCCCUGCCCUUUCCUCGGGGAUAGCCUUUCGAAAGAAACAUUAAUCCCCGAUAUAAAGGAUGGGGAUGCGUUCCAUUAGGUUGUUGGUGAGGUAACGGCUCACCAAGACUUCGAUGGCUCGGGGUUCUGAGAGGAAGCACCCCCAGAUUGGAACACGGACCAGGUCCAAACUGGUACGGGAGGUAGGAGUUAUGAAGAUUGGUAAAUGGGCGCGAGGCUGAACCGGCCAAGUAGCGUGAAGGAUGAACGGGUAUGGGGCGUAAUUUUUUGGGAGAAAAGAAUAGGUAUCAGAUGAAUAAGGAUCGGCUAACUCCGUGCCAGCAGCCGCGGUAAUUC